UACGUAGGUGGCAAGCGUUAUCCGGAUUCACUGGGCGUAAAGGGAGCGCAGGCGGCACGGCAAGUCUGGUGUGAAAACCCGGGGCUCAACCCCGGGACUGCAUUGGAAACUGCCGGGCUGGAGUGUCGGAGGGGUAAGCGGAAUUCCUAGUGUAGCGGUGAAAUGCGUAGAUAUUAGGAGGAACACCAGUGGCGAAGGCGGCUUACUGGACGAUGACUGACGCUGAGGCUCGAAAGCGUGGGGAGCAAACAGG
rnacentral:rRNA from 1 species